rnacentral:lncRNA from 1 species
AAAUUAUUUUGAUAUAUUUAUCACAAAUCUUUUUUCGCAUAAAUCUUUAUAAAAUAAGUUGUCGUUUUAAUAAAUUUUAUUUAAAUAAAAUUAACUAUUAAAUUAUUUUUAUAUAACUUUUAUUUAAUUAAUAAUUAGACUUAUAAAAUUAUUUAAAAAUAUAAAAAACUAAAAUUUAUUAAAAAAAAUUUUAAAUCCGCAGCAUCGCGCGGGUAUUACACUAGUCAAACAUUAAAGCGCAUAAAAUUCUUUCUUUUUCAAUUUUUUUAUCAGAUCAACCAGCCUUC